rnacentral:rRNA from 1 species
CCUACGGGUCGCUGCAGUGGGGAAUAUUGGACAAUGGGGGCAACCCUGAUCCAGCCAUGCCGCGUGUGUGAAGAAGGCCCUCGGGUUGUAAAGCACUUUCAGUGAGGAAGAACGCCUGGUGGUUAAUACCCAUCAGGAAAGACAUCACUCACAGAAGAAGCUCCGGCUAACUCCGUGCCAGCAGCCGCGGUAAUACGGAGGGUGCGAGCGUUAAUCGGAAUUACUGGGCGUAAAGCGCGCGUAGGUGGCUUGAUAAGCAGGUUGUGAAAGCACCGGGCUCAACCUGGGAACGGCAUCCGGAGCUGAUAAGCCAGUGUGCAGGCGAGGAAGGUAGAAUUCCCGCUGUAGCGGUGAAAAGCGAAGGAAGCGGGCGCAAUAACCGUGGCGGAGGAGGCCCUCUAGACUGAUUCUGACACUGAGGUGCGAGAGCGUGGAUAGCAAACAGGCUUAGCAACCCUAGUAGGA